rnacentral:rRNA from 1 species
GACGAACGCUGGCGGCGUGCUUAACACAUGCAAGUCGAACGGAAAGGCCCUGCUUUUGUGGGGUGCUCGAGUGGCGAACGGGUGAGUAACACGUGAGUAACCUGCCCUUGACUUUGGGAUAACUUCAGGAAACUGGGGCUAAUACCGUAUAGGAGCUCCUGCUGCAUGGUGGGGGUUGGAAAGUUUCGGCGGUUGGGGAUGGACUCGCGGCUUAUCAGCUUGUUGGUGGGGUAGUGGCUUACCAAGGCUUUGACGGGUAGCCGGCCUGAGAGGGUGACCGGCCACAUUGGGACUGAGAUACGGCCCAGACUCCUACGGGAGGCAGCAGUGGGGAAUAUUGCACAAUGGGCGGAAGCCUGAUGCAGCAACGCCGCGUGCGGGAUGACGGCCUUCGGGUUGUAAACCGCUUUCGCCUGUGACGAAGCGUGAGUGACGGUAAUGGGUAAAGAAGCACCGGCUAACUACGU